CCUCCUGGGCAGUUAACUGACGCUGUAAGGAAGCGAAAGCAUGGGUAGCGAACAGGAUUAGAUACCCUGGUAGUCCAUGCCGUAAACGGUGGGCGCUAGGUGUAGGGGUCUUCCACGACUUCUGUGCCGCAGCUAACGCAUUAAGCGCCCCGCCUGGGGAGUACGGCCGCAAGGCUAAAACUCAAAGGAAUUGACGGGGGCCCGCACAAGCGGCGGAGCAUGUGGAUUAAUUCGAUGCAACGCGAAGAACCUUACCUGGGCUUGACAUGGACCGGAUCGGCGUAGAGAUACCUUUUUCCUUUGUGGGUCGGUUUCACAGGUGGUGCAUGGUUGUCGUCAGCUCGUGUCGUGAGAUGUUGGGUUAAGUCCCGCAACGAGCGCAACCCUUGUCUUAUGUUUGCCAGCACAUCAUGGUGGGUACUCAUGAGAGACUGCCGGGGUUAACUCGGAGGAAGGUGGGGAUGACGUCAAAUCAUCAUGCCCCUUAUGUCCAGGGCUUCACACAUGCUACAAUGGUCGGUACAGCGAGUUGCCACACCGUGAGGUGGAGCUAAUCUCUUAAAGCCGGCCUCAGUUCGGAUUGGGGUCUGCAACUCGACCCCAUGAAGUCGGAGUCGCUAGUAAUCGCAGAUCAGCAACGCUGCGGUGAAUACGUUCCCGGGCCUUGUACACACCGCCCGUCACGUCAUGAAAGUUGGUAACACCCGAAGCCAGUGGCCCAACCCUUGUGGGGGAGCUGUCGAGUGGAUCGCGAUGGA
rnacentral:rRNA from 1 species